UAGGGAAUAUUGGACAAUGGGCGCAAGCCUGAUCCAGCCAUGCCGCGUGAGUGAAGAAGGCCCUCGGGUUGUAAAGCUCUUUUGUCCGGAAAGAAAAGCAUCGGGCUAAUACCCUGGUGUUCUGACGGUACCGGAAGAAUAAGCACCGGCUAACUUCGUGCCAGCAGCCGCGGUAAUACGAAGGGUGCAAGCGUUACUCGGAAUUACUGGGCGUAAAAGCGUGCGUAGGUGGUUUGUUAAGUCUGAUGUGAAAGCCCUGGGCUCAACCUGGGAAUGGCAUUGGAAACUGGCGGACUCGAGUGCGGUAGAGGGGUGUGGAAUUCCCGGUGUAGCAGUGAAAUGCGUAGAGAUCGGGAGGAACACCAGUGGCGAAGGCGACACCCUGGACCAGCACUGACACUGAGGCACGAAAAGCGUGGGGAGCAAAACAGGAUUAGAUACCCUGGUAGUCCACGCCCUAAAACGAUGCGAACUGGAUGUUGGGUGCAACUUGGCACUCAGUAUCGAAGCUAACGCGUUAAGUUCGCCGCCUGGGGAGUACGGUCGCAAGACUG
rnacentral:rRNA from 1 species